AAAUAUAGAUUAUACUAUUGGCUUUUUAUGAUAAAGCAAAGUCAUAUUUUUUCUGAGCUAGCAUUGCCAUUGCUCGAAGUGCCUGUUUUCUCAACCUCACCUCCAAACUAGUUACUGGUUUGCUUCCGCAUUAUGUACAUGUGUAUGACUUUCACAAGGAUUGCCCCUCCAGCUGACUCUUAUAUGGAAGCAAAUCAGACUCAUCAAAUUCUGAAUUUUAAAAGCUGCUGAAUUUCUUACCUUGAAUUUUUUUGCAUCAGAAUUACGUAUGUGAAUUUUUUAUGCCUGAAUUUAGCUCAUCAAAAUUCUAAAAACCAGUUAAAAAUUCAAUGUCUUCAAAAUUCGCCAUCAAAAAAAUUCAAUGUCUUCAAAAUUCGCCAUCAAAAAAAUUUGAUGUGUUCAAAAUUCACCAUCAAAAAAUUCUGUGUUCAAAAUUCGCCAUCAAAAAAAUUCAAUGUUCAAAAUUCGCCAUCAAAAAAUUCAAUGUUAAAAAAUUCGCUGUCAAAAAAUUCGCUGUUCACAUCUGGGGGAUUCAGGCGUAAAAAAUCGAUCCUGGCCAAAAUCGAACCAACGCCCAGCCAAUCACGUGGCGCUCCUCCGGUCAUGUGACGCAGACGGUUCACUUCACAAGACCGGGGUCAACCACGGCUAACAGCAUGAACAACGGCGCUUCAAUGCACAAUGAGGGACGUCUGCAGAGACUGAGAAAGAGUCUCACCACAUCCUGACAUGAGGAAAAAGACUUUAUUGAAGACUACAAUGAGAAAAACUAUCAGACAGCAGACGGCUGCAUUCAAGUCUGUAGCUGCUGAAUUCAUGGAUGAAUCAUCUGGCACUAGAGAAGAAGACCAUCAAACAUCUACGUCAGCUGAUGGAGGUCCAAGAGUCUCACCAAACAACCUACAGAGUGAAGACCUCCAAUCUGAUUGGACGGCCUCCUAUUCAGCCACAUGUGUGAACAAAUGCCUAUUGUUCCAGAUAAGACGAGUACAAGAUUCUUCAGAGCCGUUCUACCACGAGCCUGACAGGAAGAACUCCAACAGCUACUGAAUGUUCCUGUGGUUCCCUCAAGGCUACAGGAGGAGCCCUACGAGGACGAGCCGGUCCACAUGAUGGUGGCCAGUCGCUGUGUUCAAAGCUAACACCGACUACGUGGACUUCUACUGGACCACACGGAGGCCUUCAAACCGGACCAACAAGUUCAGCGACUCCCCGACUCGUGGGUCUGAGGACGCUGCCGAGCCUCGGUCCAGCCGGCCUCCUGUCUGUGGGUGUUUGAAUGCUGAGAGGUUUGUGGAUGGAUGUGAACGUGUCUGUGUUGAAACAGCAGCUUUGGACUCACUAACGCCGGGAAAAACCAAGAGCUCCUUUAUUUGUGACUUCCACUAAAAAAAACAGAUGAAAAUAAGUUUGCCAGGGUUCUGACUGAUAACAGAUUAUUAAAUAAUGAAAGUAAUCGUUUAAAUAUUCCUUUAAACAAGGUCUACAUUUCCUUUACACUGACUUCUUGGUAUAUGCACAAGUGUUUAGGGUGAAAUAUACCAUUAAGCCCAAUGUUCAAGGGUUCUUCUGGGAAUAUACCAUUAAACCAACCUUUUAGGUAAAUGUUCCAGGAUGUUGGGUAGAAUAUACCAUCAGAUCAACCUUUUAGGUCUACAUUGGAAGAUUUUAGAGUAGAAUAUUACUCCAAACCAUCCUUUAGCUCUACAUUUAAGGUGGAAUACUCCUUUACACCAAGAUUUUUUGGUCUACAUUGAAGGAUUUUGGGUGGAAUAUUCCUUUGAAUGAACUUUUUAAGUUUAUGUUCAAGGAUGUUGGGUGGAAUAUACCACCUGUGUUUGUGUUGCUCCUUGGCGACCCUAGACAGCCGGGUCGUAAUGUUUUUUGAGCAACACACCAUACUAUGACGUUUUUACAAUGACGGUUCUACUAUGGAACCAGUUUGACAUGUUCAGGCGUUCUUUGUGUGAAAACUAAACUAAAUUUCCUUCACUAACCCAACCCUCUGGACUUCCAGGAAGCUGUGUUCCUAUUGGCUGUCCAGGUGGCUGCUUGGUGUUAUCAGGAACACCUGAGCAGCUCAGUGUCUUCCUGCUUUAUUUAGCUGCAGACAAACAUUUCCUCUGCUUCCUUCACCACUGAACCGGGUUUGGCUCCAUUGCUUUAGUUUGUUCUUUAGGCGUUGGCUUGAAGCUUCCAGCAGUAAAAUCGUCUUUAAUGUGUUUCUUGGUGUGUUUUAGGGCUUUGUACUGGAUAUUUGUCUUGGUAAAUGUGGUUCUUUAGCCACAGUUAGCACAUAGUGCUAAUGUGUGCAGUGAUUAGUGGAUUUGGUGCAGCUGAGUUGUGUCUUUAUCUUGGCUGUAGUGAGUCUUCAGAGGUUUUUGGUCAGACACAUUCUGUAUUCUUGUUUGAGAACCAACAUUGGUUGUCCAGAAGGUAAGAGUUCCUGUCCUGAUUCUCUGUUCUCAGAGGUUCUCUGGUAGGCUGCAGGAGACUUUAGCGUUUGGGUUGUGCUAGUUUGGUUUUUGUACGGUUUCAUUUGGACGACUAUCUUGAGGCCCCUCCAUGUGGUUUAGUGAGGUUUUCUCUAACAGUUCUACAAAGCAACCUGCAGCAGAAGAGACUUUGAGAGUUUUUAGGAAGUUCUGGAGACCAGACUUUAGAGCAGCAGAAACAUUUAUCAGCAGUUUGAGCAGGAGAAGGUGAGCUUCAGAGUAGAAAUGAGGAGAAGGAAACCUUCUUGACCCGUGUGGUGAGGUCCUGUACCAAGAGUUUGAGCAGGUUGUGAAGAGUCUCUAGUUCUUUAGUCUGAAAGCACAAGAAUCGACUCAUUAAAGGAGAAAACGGGAGAUAUUGUUGGUUCUUCUGUCACUCUGCAGUUUCCAGUUUCCUUAGACUGAAUAUAAAGUUUAUAUUUUAAAUGAUUUACCAUGUGAGCCCAAGAAGACUUCAGUAAACUCCCUCCAUCCCCUGGACACAACAGAUUUUAUUACGAUGUAAAAUCUUUUUGUUUUUAAAUGUUUUUGUUUUAAUCAUAGUUUUAGCAUAGUUUUUUGUCUUUGCUUGUUUAGUUUUGUCAUCUGUGUGAACGGUGCUAAACAAAUAAAGCUGAAUUGAUAAACU